CUGAAGAUCCCAUCUGGAUUUGUUGAAUCCUGAUGAAGCAUCCAUGAAGGUAAGGAAUUCAUGACUUACAAUGACAUCAACCAAUGAAUCUACAUGCAAAUGAAUUGAUUUGAGUGUAUUUAGUUUAGAUUGUUUUGAUUUGGAAACCUAUACAGUGUAAAUCUUUAAAUGAUUUGACAAUUAUUAUGUGAAUAUCUUAAUAUAUGCUAGAGAGUAGUCAAUUUCAUUAGUUUAUUAAUGUUUUCUAUUUACAUGUUUACUUGAAUGCCUUAAUAUUAAUUUAUUCAAAUCUUCCACAUUCAGUUAUACUUCUAGAAGUAAGUAGUAACCCACACUCAGAUAUUCAGCAGUCAGUGGUGCUUUAUUGUUCUCUUAUGUUGUCCGUAACUGGAAGCAAUAAAGGAAAUGUCCAGGUAUGACAUGAUGAGUAGGUGGUGUAUAUGUAGUCAAAGUUUAUUUGUUCCUUCUUCCCUAAUAAGAGAAGUGAUAUCCUUGGGGCCCUUGAUAAUUUGGUGCUAACAUCAAAUGCAUGGUUGUGCUCAGACCGAAAUGACAAUAGCAGGGUCCUUUAGGUUAGACACAAAAUAUGACUUAAGCAUAAUAUGAAAAAAAAAAAAAAAAUAAAAAAAAAAAAUAAAAAAAAGGAAUUAAAGGUUUUAAGUGUAAUUAACUUUAAUUCAAAUUCGUAAGUAUUUGCCCCUUAAUUCAAGGAUUGAUAUACUAAUUUAAGUCGAUAAUGUGUACCAAAAAAAAAAAAAAAAAAAAAAAACUAGUUGAUACCCACAAGUGAGGAUCGGCCUCUCCCCCCUUUUCCCCCCGCUCUUUCUCACUCUAAGGUUUUCUUUUCAAUUCCCGAUUUUGGAGACCUAGUUGCAUUGUUUGAUCAUUUCCGGAAGAUCCAACGGUCUAAAUGUCUUGAUUUUUCGAUAGAUGCUUCCUAACAUCCACAAUAACAUUAUGUAUGGUUGGAUUGUCGAGAUAAGCUAUGUAGGCUCCAAAAACUCUAGUUAGGUUUGUUGGACAACAACAUUUUUCUGGGUUCAAUUUUGGUCACAACAAAGAGAAGGACUUGUCGUUUUGCUUGGUCAUCCAAGUAAAAAAUCGACCACAAACAAAGAGAGAGGGACCACUCCAACAUAUAUAUUUUUGGUAAUAGAAGCUUUGACGGAUGGAACUCAAGAUCUACCCUGUGAACUUCGACCUCUUAAAUGUUAGAAUUUACCAUCACAUUAAUGUAUUAUGUUAGUUACUUGGGUUUCUUGAAAUAUGUUGCUAUGUGUAUAUAAAAGAUGAUGCAUAAUUAUCGUUUCAGAUGUAGACUAUUA